rnacentral:tRNA from 1 species
GGUGGUGUAGCUCAGUGGUAGAGCACUUGCCUCCCACGUGUGAGGUUCAAGGUUCAACCCCCGCCCCCA